UCCUAAACUGCGUUCUCAAAUACACGAUAUGUUAGUUUGGCGGCCCUCUUACGCGAUGUCUUUUUAACAAAAUUGGGGAUCUCAUCUUCUACAAUCUAGGGAUUCAUCACUUUCUUCAAUCCUUAUAUCAUGAUCAAUUACUAUCUAUCUCUCUUGCUCUGAAAUUUUUUCUUUGAAAUCAAGCGAUCUUUCUAUCUUGGUCGUAAAGAAUCUAGCAUGUGAUGUUUUCUUCAAGGUCAGAUUGAACUACUCGUCUUUGAUAUUGAUUAUACCUCAUUUUGAUCAUCAAUCCACUAUUGAAAAUCCGCUUGAGCUUAUGCGACCAUAGUACGAUAUCAUUAUCUGGUCUACCACUAGACACUUGAAGUUACUGAGUUUGAUCUGAAAAGGCAGCUUGUAUAUGAGCUUGAUGUAAAUGUUUUGAGAUGUGUGCGUGAUCAGAAUGGGCCGGAAUCCUGUGAUACAACAUUGUAUCGACUGUGUUUCAACAUAGGAAAUUGGAUUCAUAAUUUUUGCAUUGCGUAUUCAAGGUGCAGCACCAUCUACAUAUCCUUAUGGUUGUUGUGUUAUUCAGCAGUAAAAACAAAUACUUUUGCAUGUCGAUCUUAUUUUCAUUUCACUUUUGAACAGUAACUGUUACGUUUUUCAUUCUUUGUUAUGCAUGUUUAUUUCUUCUGUCUUCAUGAAUCUACUUCACGUCUCUUGUUUCGGACAGUGGAGUACUCUACAACUUAGUCAGAUUAUAGUGGAGGAAAUUUUGGAAUUUAAACUUCAAGCUCGUCUAAGUGCAUUUCAGAGAGAUCUGGAGUUCGAGACUGCAACUGAAAAGAGCAAUACGAAGCCUCAUGAGUUGCUGGACAAAGAUGUUGUUUCACAAAUGCCUGAAUAACUAUUUAAUUAAAGGUUUGAGUUCAUCGAUGAACUUUCAGCAGGGGUCACGGGAAGCUUCCAUUCUUGCGGUCAGGUUUCAAAGUUUCAUGUUAUUGGUAGCCUUAGAAAGUUCCCCUGUUAGAUAGUUCAAUCCAAAGUUAUGUUUUGUCGACUUUCUAUAUAAUUUUUUUUUAGCUUUAGAAACAAGCGGAACUAUGUCGGCCAAUCAAAAAUCCUGUAUAUAUUUUUGUGCAUUUGUCGUUACUCAUAUGCUCCUGUUUUUGGUUUUUCCAAGUCUUAUAGAAACAUAUUAUCAUUUAAUCAUACAACGCGAAACUAAGACAUUGAUGUAUUCUCAUAUCUCAAAUAUAUAUACCAUAAUAAAGACACUUGUGCGUUUCUAGCUAGAUAUAACUAGCUCAGAGUUGCUCAUCUAUGAUUCGUGACCUGUUGACUUUAUAAUGAUUUCCGAGACUUAGUUUUACUCCAGAAAUGCACCGGAAGGCGAAGAACUAUUUCUAGACUCUUGCUCAUGUGGUCUUUGUAAAUCCUCUUACUUCUUGACAAGCCUAUUGUGCAUGCUCUUUACAGAGAACCUGAUCAGGAUGUUAGUUCACAUUGUGGUUUGUUAAUAUGCAACCCAAUUUAGGUCGGCAGCGUAUUAUGUUACCGGCAAUGAGACUUUCAACAAUUCAAUCGAUGUAUCAGUGAGAUUGACUGAGUGCAUAUUCACACUUCAGUUGAUAACCAAGUCAUUUAGAUCGAAAAACUACAAAAUUGGAAUAUGUAUGAGUUAAUGGAUAUGAAGUAUAAAGAUGUCAUGUCUGAUAGUUUUAGAGAGAUAGGGCCUUUCAACUAAAUUCUAUAGUGAGGUAUUCGGAAAAAGAGGAAAUCCGAAUGCUAUGAAGAAGAGAUCAUGGGUAAUAAACCACGUUCAAGAGUUGGUGACAUGAUUGUGUUGGUCCAAAUUUCGGUUCAAGCAUUGGUGAAGCAGGUGUGUUAGUCAAGAUUAGACUUUGAUCAACUUUACGAAAAAUGGAUAAUGUUUCUGAUUUCGUUGAUAUUUUCUUUUAGUCGGUACUAAGCAUACUGUUCUAUCAAGUAUAUAUAUUGAAUUAUGUAAAUUAUACCAUGCAUUAACUUCUAUUCAACUUAUUAUGUACUUCGGAUAUUUAUAAUUUUGAUGUUAUUUA